AGUGAACGCUGGCGGUAGGCCUAACACAUGCAAGUCGAACGGCAGCACAGUAAUAGCUUGCGCUUACGGGUGGCGAGUGGCGGACGGGUGAGGAAUACAUCGGAAUCUACUUUUUCGUGGGGGAUAACGUAGGUAAACUUACGCUAAUACCGCACACGACCUACGGGUGAAAGCAGGGGAUCUUCUGACCUUGCGCGAUUGAAUUAGCCGAUGUCGGAUUAGCUAGUUGGCGGGGUAAAGGCCCACCAAGGCGACGAUCCGUAGCUGGUCUGAGAGGAUGAUCAGCCACACUGGAACUGAGACACGGUCCAGACUCCUACGGGAGGCAGCAGUGGGGAAUAUUGGACAAUGGGCGCAAGCCUGAUCCAGCCAUACCGCGUGGGUGAAGAAGGCCUUCGGGUUGUAAAGCCCUUUUGUUGGGAAAGAAAAGCAGCAGGUUAAUACCCCGCUGUUCUGACGGUACCCAAAGAAUAAGCACCGGCUAACUUCGUG
rnacentral:rRNA from 1 species